rnacentral:rRNA from 1 species
UACGUAGGGUGCAAGCGUUAAUCGGAAUUACUGGGCGUAAGCGUGCGCAGGCGGUUGUGCAAGACAGAUGUGAAAUCCCCGGGCUUAACCUGGGAACUGCAUUUGUGACUGCACGGCUAGAGUGCGGCAGAGGGGGAUGGAAUUCCGCGUGUAGCAGUGAAAUGCGUAGAUAUGCGGAGGAACACCGAUGGCGAAGGCAAUCCCCUGGGCCUGCACUGACGCUCAUGCACGAAAGCGUGGGGAGCAAACAGG